rnacentral:lncRNA from 1 species
GCCUGCCGGUGGAAAAAUUAGAGCGACAUAUUAGUGCAUUGGCUCGGUGAAAUAAAUGAAGCGCUACUGGAGGCAAAUUAAAAUAUCUCCCUCAGCAAAAAUGAGACGCUCGCUCAUGAUGAAAGCAUGUUAAUAGUUUAUUCUUUGAAACAUCACCGACAUAGUCAUAUUCUAAAGCAUCAUCAACGCCAUCACCAAAUUCAAUGCCAUCAACACCAUCAGCGGCUAGUAACAAUGUAUACCACAGAUUUAUGGCGAAUUACAACGAGGCAAAAAACAUAUACAUAUGUAGGAAUUGUAAAAUUCCUAAAAUUUUGCAAAGUUUUAAGAAAACUGCAUUUUCUUGCACCACUAUAACUGAUUUCCAAUUGUUAAUAUAUAUCAAAAGAAAGCUAAAAGGAUUACCUUUCCUUUGAUUAUAAAACCAUUUAAAUCGCUGGACAUUUUUAUGCAAAUUUCGCAACUUUUGAAAUCAUCUAUAUGUAAGCAGUGGAAAGGUUCUAAAAUUUAGCAAAGUUGUAAGAAAACUGCAUUUUCUUGAACCACUAUAAAUGAUUUCCAAUUGUUAAUAUAUAUCAAAAGAAAGAUAAAUCGAUUACCUUUCUUUUAAUUAAAAUACCAUUGAAUUCGUUUAACAUUUUUAUGCAAAUUUCGCAACUUUUGAAAUCAUCUAUAUGUAAGCAGUGGAAAAGUCCUCAAAUUUUGUAGUUGUAAGAAAACUGAAUUUUCGUAAACCACGAUAAAUGAUUUCCAACUGUUAAUAUAUAUCAAAAGAAUAGUAAAUUGAUUAAUAUAUUAUUAUUAUUAUUAUAGUUUAAUAUCUUUAUACAUAGAUUUAUUUAAUAUCCCGUUUUGUAGAAUGGUUAUGAUGAUGUCUUAGAAACGCUUGCCAUAAUUGAUUAUUAAUAAAAUAAAGGUUUAUACUUUAAAAGGAUUUUUUAUUUCAAAUGGAUAUUCUUUAUUUUUUUUUAACUUAUUGCUUUUCCACACCACCACUGAGGUUGCAAUAAAGGCGCGUUACCGAUUUUUUUUUUUGGGUGUUCGGUUCCCCAGGAGGCCUAUUUUCACCCAUAC